ACCGCCCGUCACACCAUGAGAGUUGGAGAUACCCGAAGCCUAUGAGCUAACUUUUAGAGGCAGUAGUCGAAGGUAGAAUCAAUGAUUGGGGUGAAGUCGUAACAAGGUAGC
rnacentral:rRNA from 1 species